rnacentral:rRNA from 1 species
AUGCCGCCUGUUGCCUGCAACUGCAACGCCGACGUCGGAGCUAACCCUUCCCACCUCGCGUGCAGCUCCGCGUGGGGCAGCUCAAUCUGUGACGCCCCUCCAUCCACCUCCUCCCCCUUUGGCCGCUGCUCCGGAAGGGCAGCGCCGCGGGAGAGGGCCUACCGAUCAGGAGCAGAUGACCUAGUUGUAGAGGAUUUUUUCUCUGGCGGCCGUUGUUGCCGAUGGGAGGAGAAAAAUGUUCUUUCAUGGCUCUGCAUGACUGGUGGGCUCAACGGGAUCUUUCAUUGGUUGGGUUUGAUUUUCUCGCGUGAACGAAUCCUGAAGUGUCAUGUGUCUCACGCGCUGACGGCGUCGUGCGCACGUCAUGCGUCGUGGGUGGCCGGCGCAUACCCACCCAGAUUUGUGCACCCUUGUUUGUGUUCCCCAAUGACAAGUGGGCCGGUGUUGCUCCUGGCCCCGCUCGUCGGCUGCGAUGGCUGUGCGUCUGUUGCUUCUGGUCCCGCUCGUCGGCUGCGGUGGUUGUGCACUGCGCAGGGUGGGCUGGCGCAUGUGCACGUGGGCCCCUGGGCUGACCGAUGCAUAGUGCGUGUGUCGUGGGUGCCUCAUCUCCUCUCGCGAGCGCGGCUUCAGUUUCCCUUUCUAUCUCUUCAAUAUCCAAUGUCGUGCUGCUACCGCCGUCGGCGCCGCCGUCAACGCCUCCGCCUCCGCCUCGUCCUCUUGGGGUUUCUGAUGCUGCCGCUCCGACGAAGGUCGCCGCGCCGCUGGUGCUUAGAUUCAUGGAGGGGAACAGCAGCCACGCCACACGGCAUGCCUCGCCGUGCCGCAUGGUGGCCGAGAGGCGGCCGCCCCAUGCUCUGCCUGCGCCGUCUCAUCGUCUUCAUCGACAGGAGGCAUCUCUGCCGGCCUUAUCCCAUCACCAUCGCCUCCCUUCCCUACGAGAGCGACGGAUCCAAUAGCUUGAGCUCGGAUCGCUUCCAGUCCAGCUUCUACUCGAUCCUGGCGUCCAGGGGUGUGGUUACGAUUGCUUCUUCUAGACACAUUACCAGGCAAGAAGAUAGACAAGAUCAAGGACUCCAACAGGCACACUGGCGGCUCGAAGAACUCACUGGGAAGAUGAGCGAGUGCAAGCGCUUAAUCAAAGAAUUUGAUUGUGUACUCAAAGAUGAAGAGAAAAGGAAUACUUCUGAGGCCAACAAACAACUAAAUGUCAGGAAGCAAUUUAUGAUGUGCUAUUCGGUCGCCAUGAUGUUGCAGCUCCCUCCUGGUUUUAGUUUGAGCAUGCUUCUCUCCAUGGGCCUCUCUAUUUAG